rnacentral:lncRNA from 1 species
UUUAAUAUAAUACUUUUGUUAUAGUUGAGGGAGAAAAAUGAGCACAUCACGGCUCCUUCUCACCCACUAGUGAGGUAGGCAUCUUCCAAGAUUUAAAAGUAUCUUGUGGAAGGGUCCGGUUGAGUUAGAUGGCAGAAAGCUAUAAGAACAAGGAAGCUGUCACGUCACCUUCCAAUCCCAACUCUCUGUGGGAACGCAUUGUACUUUUUUCCCAGAUCAAUGCAAUGUGGUCCUCCGGUAGGUUAAAGAAGAAAGAGACACAGUGCUAACUGGGUUAGCGUGACUUUUCCCAGACAGUAAAGCAGGCUGUCCAGAGUAUGUCUUGACUCUAUUGGAGAGACCGACCUCCACCCAGCCUCUGCCCUCUUGGCUUUUCACAGACUCAGGCUUGGCUUGCCUCCUUCCUCACAACCCUUUCGGUUUCCACCCUUCAGGUUGCAUGUUGUCAAAGUCUUUGUCCCAACCAUCAGCGUGGAGCUCCUGGAAAAUGGAAUCAACCUGGUGUGCAUCAGAGCCAGGCUGCAUCUCAGUGCUAAAUUCUUUUUUGGCAAACACUUUGAACGGUUUGAUGUCAUCGUAGACAUGGACAUGAAAGCAGAAGUCAGUUUAGUGGACUUUUUCGUGGGGAUUUUUAACAUAAACAUUGAAACAUGCAAGAACGAAUUUAAAAUCGCAAAGAUAAUCUGUUCUACACAGUAAGUCUUUCUG